UACAGAGGUCUCAAGCGUUGUUCGGAUUCAUUGGGCGUAAAGGGCGCGUAGGCGGCCGAUCAAGUCAGGCGUGAAAGCCCCGGACUCAACCUGGGAAUGGCGCUUGGGACUGGUUGGCUUGAGUUCGGGAGAGGAGAGUGGAAUUCCCAGUGUAGAGGUGAAAUUCGUAGAUAUUGGGAAGAACACCGGUGGCGAAGGCGGCUCUCUGGACCGAGACUGACGCUGAGGCGCGAAAGCGUGGGGAGCAAACAGG
rnacentral:rRNA from 1 species